GUGACCAUCAAUGUAGAGAUUUAGCUUAUUAUGUGUGUGGUCUCUUUACCUUUAUUUCUGGAAACCUUGGCUGAGGGGAAGUCCUGUGCUCAACUAUGGCUAUUAUGAUUGGAUCUGCUCAUUUCUGGUUUUUCCUAUGCUAAAAGAAAAGAAUGGCCGAUUGAGAAGCUGAGGAAGUUUGAGGUCCCCAAAGCUCCGAAAUAUAUUUUCCUAUCAUUUGUCUAAUGGGACAUGCACCAAUACACUCUACCAACACUCUUAUGUAACCUGUCUUGCUGCAGCAGAAAAAAAAAUAUGUAAUUUUUAUCUCAAAAUCUUCUAGUAAAUAUCAUUUAUUUUUUAUAUUAGUUUCAUUUGAUAACACACGAAAGACACGUCUCUUCGAUUUAUACAUUUUCUUGUGGAUGGUCUUUUCUUGUUUAACAGGGAACUUUAUUAGCACAAGGAUCUCUAAAAACAUGUUUUCCUAAUCUGAGCUACAAUCAGAUUGUAGGACACUUUUUUUUGCCCUUAUGUUUGUCAUCCCCUGCUCACUGAAUUGUUUUUUUUGCAUUAGAAGACUCACCAAAUUCUACUUAUAAAUGUAGUUGGAAAGAGACUACGAGUGUGUGUAUUCACCUUAAA